rnacentral:rRNA from 1 species
ACGGAGGGUGCGAGCGUUGUUCGGAAUCACUGGGCGUAAAGUGCGUGUAGGCGGCCCCUUAAGUCUGGUGUGAAAGCCCGGGGCUUACCCCCGGAAGGGCACUGGAGACUGGGAGGCUUGAGUACCGGAGAGGAGGGUGGAAUUCCUGGUGUAGCGGUGAAAUGCGUAGAUAUCAGGAGGAACACCGGUGGCGAAGGCGGCCCUCUGGACGGCUACUGACGCU